rnacentral:lncRNA from 1 species
CCGCUAAUGACCUAAUGACGAAGGUAGUUUCUCUUUACUUCUCUUGGAAAUUACUUGAAGUCGGCUUUGCAGCGGAGCUGGAGUGAGGGGCCGGGCAGAAGCCCGGGGCCUGUGCGCCGUCGGCCGCAGUUAUGCAGGCUCUGCCAAGGCCCAGUCUGCCCUGUCCGU